rnacentral:lncRNA from 1 species
AAAUAUAAAAACAAAUUCUCCCCACUGAAAAUACAAAUAGAAAAACAAAACCUGUUGAAAUGACCUUAGGAACAUCAUUGAUCAUGCUCAUAUAUAUUUAAGUUCUGAUACAAAGUACAUUUUUAUUUUCCCGCAUCCUUGUGAAGAAUGAACUUCUUGAGUGUUUAUUUUUUAUUCUUCUGGUGCAGGGCUGUAAGCUUAGGCAUUAAUUGGUCAUAGAGAUCACCUGGUGCUAUGGAUUUGUGGUGGUUCAUUAAUCAGUGCUAGUUGGGUCCUGAGUGCAGCGCACUGUACAGCCUCACUGGUGUAAGUGUAACACAUUGACAUACAUUAUGGACAUUUGACUAAUUUACCUUUUAAACUUCCCAUGGUUUCAACUUAUACCAUGAAAUUGACCAUUCAUGUAUGUGAGAUGUUUGCUACAAGAAGUAAUCAGAGUACGAGGGUUUUACUCACACCUGUAAGGGGCCAAGGCAUAGCAAUGAGAGAUAAGCGGGUUUUGCACAAAAACUGAUAUCCGGGUGUCAAUCAAGUAUGCCUUAUCUUCAAACAGGUUUGCGCAAACUUCCUUGUGUUUCAUACUACUUAUACUGGAGGGCCAUUGAUCAGUCAGGUUGGUUAGGGGUUCUUGAAAUACACUGACACUACCAAUAUUUAUUUAGUUUACUACCAGUUACUAUUCGUUCAGGGUCACUGAGCAAUGGUUCAGCCUGGAGAGCAAGACGUUUCAGCUUUCAUCACGUUGUCUGCAUAUGAAUAUGAAGCCAAGGAAUUGCACCCUCUCUAUGUACUGUACCAGUUCACCCCCCCCCCCCAAAAAAAAAAAAAACAGACUUGAGGUGUGGGUAAUGGGGAAAGGAGAAGGUAAAACUGGCUUCCUCAGCAAUUGCAGUAACAAUUUAAUAAUAAUAAAUUAAUCAAAAAGAAAAAGAAACAAAAAAUGGAGUGGACCUCAUUAAAAAAGAGGAUUUUUGUAAGAGCAAAUAUGAAUCGGCUAGUUACAACUUGUUGGCUUGAUUCCUAAAGGCAUCAAUGAAACCUCAAUGCUUUGUGCAUGGACUGAAAACAAGGAUACAUGUCAGUUUUUAGAGAAUGUUUAGGCUAACAUGGUUUGAAAAUUUUUCCGAUCUGUUGGUUCAGUUAUUAAGUUUUGGUACAAUGGAAGGGUCAGAAUUAAGGAUUAAUUGAACCGAGCUAUUAUCAGAGGAAAAAUCAAAAGAAUUUGAAAUAUCCAGAUGGGUUGAAGAGAUUCUGAUUGUUAUAAAAUCAUCUAAUAUAUCAAAAAGUUUAUGAGCAGAUGUUGGACAAUAUGGUGAGUUUGGAGGUGUUAUAAUGGUGUAAGUGGUACACCCAUGGUAAUUUGCAGAGUGGUUCUAUUUACAAUGCAUACAUAUAGCGGGUUCCUCUUGUGAUCUGAUACAAUCUUCUGUCAAGUGAGACCUGCUGGUGCACUUCACGCAUCAUGGAAAAUAGUUGCAGUACAAUUUGGUAAGAAUAUAAAGAAAAGAACAGGAGAAGAUUAGUUUUUAAGUGAGGUUUUCUCAUUGGUGACGAGCCUAACAUUAUACCCGAGGUUCUCCAGUUCUUCUUUAUGCUGCGGGUGUAGAAUAAUGAAAGUGAUGAAUAAAAACCCUAAAAGCCUUAUCUUCUUGAAGCUGACAGGGUGAUUCAGGUAGACCACUCCAGAUAGUGCUCACGGAACUCCAUUGCAUGAACAGUGUCAUUGGCAUUACAUCAUUUGGAGAUGACUGUGGAAAAAGGAAACCAGGAGUGUACACAAGAGUAUCUAAUUACAUUGAAUGGAUUGAAAAUAUUGUUUGGCCAUAAUGCAUUUAUUUUUUUAAAUAAGGCAGCUUAUUUUCUAAUACAAUUA